rnacentral:rRNA from 1 species
GACGAACGCUGGCGGCGUGCCUAAUACAUGCAAGUAGAACGCUGAAGGAGGAGUUUGCUUCUCUGGAUGAGUUGCGAACGGGUGAGUAACGCGUAGGUAACCUGCCUGGUAGCGGGGGAUAACUAUUGGAAACGAUAGCUAAUACCGCAUAAUAGUAGAUGUUGCAUGACAUUUGCUUAAAAGGUGCAAUUGAAUCACUACUAGAUGGACCUGCGUUGUAUUAGCUAGUUGGUGAGGUAACGGCUCACCAAGGCGACGAUACAUAGCCGACCUGAGAGGGUGAGCGGCCACACUGGGACUGAGACACGGCCCAGACUCCUACGGGAGGCAGCAGUAGGGAAUCUUCGGCAAUAGGCGGAAGUCUGACCGAGCAACGCCGCGUGAGUGAAGAAGGUUUUCGGGUCGUAAAGCUCUGUUGUAAGGGAAGAACGAGUGUGAGAGUGGAAAGUUCACACUGUGACGGUAUCUUACCAAAAAGGAACGGCUAACUACGUG